GGUCAAGCGAAUAAGUGCAUGUGGUGGAUGCCUUGGCGAUAACAGGCGAUGAAGGACGCGACAGCCUGCGAUAAGCUGCGGGGAGCCGGCAAAUGGGCGCUGAUCCGCAGAUUUCCGAAUGGGGAAACCCGGCCUCUUUGAGGUCACCGUGACCUGAAUACAUAGGGUCAUAGGAGCGAACGCGGAGAACUGAAACAUCUCAGUAACCGCAGGAACAGAAAUCAACCGAGAUUCCCAGAGUAGUGGCGAGCGAAAUGGGACCAGCCGUCGAGUUUUAGCAGGUGCGUUAGCGAAAUGGUCUGGAAAGGCCAGCCGUAGUGGGUGAUAGCCCCGUACGCGAAAACGCAUCUGUGGAACUAAGCUCGAGACAAGUAGGGCGGGACACGUGAAAUCCUGUCUGAAGAUGGGGGGACCAUCCUCCAAGGCUAAAUACUCGUUAUCGACCGAUAGUGAACCAGUACCGUGAGGGAAAGGCGAAAAGAACCCCGGGAGGGGAGUGAAAUAGAUCCUGAAACCGCAUGCAUACAAACAGUCGGAGCCCGCAAGGGUGACGGCGUACCUUUUGUAUAAUGGGUCAGCGACUUACGUUCAGUUGCAAGCUUAAGGCUUGAUGCCGGAGGCGCAGCGAAAGCGAGUCUGAACAGGGCGUUCAGUAGCUGGGCGUAGACCCGAAACCGGUUGAUCUAUCCAUGGCCAGGCUGAAAGUGGGGUAACACUCACCGGAGGGCCGAACCCACGCCCGUUGAAAAGGUCGGGGAUGAGCUGUGGAUAGGGGUGAAAGGCUAAACAAAACCGGAGAUAGCUGGUUCUCCUCGAAAACUAUUGAGGUAGUGCCUCGUGUAUUGCCUGCGGGGGUAGAGCACUGUUAUGGCUAGGGGGCCGCUUAGGCUUACCAACCCAUGGCAAACUCCGAAUACCGCAGAGCAGCAGCACGGGAGACAGUCCCCGGGUGCUAACGUCCGGGGACAAGAGGGAAACAACCCAGACCGCCAGCUAAGGUCCCCAAUAUCGGCUAAGUGGAAAACGAGGUGGGAAGGCACAGACAGUCAGGAGGUUGGCUUAGAAGCAGCCAUCCUUUAAAGAAAGCGUAAUAGCUCACUGAUCGAGUCGUCCUGCGCGGAAGAUGUAACGGGGCUCAAGCCGAUAACCGAAGCUGCGGAUGCAACGCGUUAAGCGUUGUGUGGUAGAGGAGCGUUCCCUACGCCUGCGAAGGUGACUCGUAAGGGUUGCUGGAGGUAUGGGAAGUGCGAAUGCUGACAUGAGUAGCGAUAAAGCGGGUGAAAGGCCCGCUCGCCGAAAGCCCAAGGUUUCCUGCGCAACGUUCAUCGGCGCAGGGUGAGUCGGCCCCUAAGGUGAGGGCGAGAGCCGUAGCUGAUGGGAAUCCGGUCAAUAUUCCGGAACCGCCGACGGGUGCGAUGUGGGGACGGAGAAGGUUAUGCGAACCGGCUGUUGGAUGUGCCGGUGAAGCGUGUAGGCAGAUCCCUUAGGGAAAUCCGGGGGGUUAAUGCUGAGGCGCGGGACCAGGAGAGCUUGCUCUCUGAAGUCGCGGAUACCCUGCUUCCAGGAAAAGCCACUAAGCUUCAGCCCGUUGGGACCGUACCGCAAACCGACACAGGUGGGCAGGAUGAAAAUUCUCAGGCGCUUGAGAGAACUCAGGAGAAGGAACUCGGCAAAUUGACACCGUAACUUCGGAAGAAGGUGUGCCUCUGGUAGGUGUAGCGGUUUACCCGCGAAGCCGAAAGAGGCCGCAGAGAAUCGGUGGCUGCGACUGUUUAUCAAAAACACAGCACUCUGCUAAGACGUUGGAAGUCGACGUAUAGGGUGUGACGCCUGCCCGGUGCCGGAAGGUUAAGUGAUGGGGUGCAAGCUCUUGAUCGAAGCCCCGGUAAACGGCGGCCGUAACUAUAACGGUCCUAAGGUAGCGAAAUUCCUUGUCGGGUAAGUUCCGACCCGCACGAAUGGCGUAACGAUGGCCACACUGUCUCCUCCUGAGACUCAGCGAAGUUGAAAUGUUUGUGAAGAUGCAAUCUACCCGCGGCUAGACGGAAAGACCCCAUGAACCUUUACUGUAGCUUUGCAUUGGACUGUGACGUUGUCUGUGUAGGAUAGCUGGGAGGCUUUGAAGCGGUGCCGCUAGGUGCCGUGGAGCCAACGUUGAAAUACCAGCCUGACGACGUUGCGGUUCUAACCUGGGCCCCUUGACGGGGUCGGGGACCGUGCAUGGUAGGCAGUUUGACUGGGGCGGUCUCCUCCCAAAGAGUAACGGAGGAGUGCGAAGGUCACCUAGGUACGGUCGGAAAUCGUACUCAUAGUGCAAUGGCAUAAGGUGGCUUGACUGCGAGACUGACAAGUCGAGCAGGUGCGAAAGCAGGUCAUAGUGAUCCGGUGAUUCUGAAUGGAAGGGUCAUCGCUCAACGGAUAAAAGGUACUCUGGGGAUAACAGGCUGAUUCCUCCCAAGAGUUCAUAUCGACGGGGGAGUUUGGCACCUCGAUGUCGGCUCAUCACAUCCUGGGGCUGUAGCCGGUCCCAAGGGUAUGGCUGUUCGCCAUUUAAAGUGGUACGUGAGCUGGGUUCAAAACGUCGUGAGACAGUUUGGUCCCUAUCUGCCGUGGGCGUUGGAGAUUUGACGGGGGCUGCUCCUAGUACGAGAGGACCGGAGUGGACGUAUCCCUGGUGUACCGGUUGUCACGCCAGUGGCAUUGCCGGGUAGCUAUAUACGGAAGAGAUAACCGCUGAAAGCAUCUAAGCGGGAAACUCGCCUGAAGAUGAGAUCUCCCGGAGCUUCGAGCUCCCUGAAGGGUCGUGGUAGACCACCACGUUGAUAGGCCGGGUGUGCACGAGCAGUAAUGCUCUGAGCUGACCGGUACUAAUUGCCCGUGCGGCUUGACUCU
rfam:Betaproteobacteria bacterium GR16-43, complete genome.